rnacentral:rRNA from 1 species
UACGUAGGGUGCAAGCGUUAAUCGGAAUUACUGGGCGUAAAGCGUGCGCAGGCGGUGAUGUAAGACAGGUGUGAAAUCCCCGGGCUUAACCUUGGAACUGCAUUUGUGACUGCAUCGCUGGAGUGCGGCAGAGGGGGAUGGAAUUCCGCGUGUAGCAGUGAAAUGCGUAGAUAUGCGGAGGAACACCGAUGGCGAAGGCAAUCCCCUGGGCCUGCACUGACGCUCAUGCACGAAAGCGUGUGGAGCAAACAGG